AGUGAACGCUGGCGGUAGGCCUAACACAUGCAAGUCGAGGGGUAGAGGAAGCUUGCUUCCUUGAGACCGGCGCACGGGUGCGUAACGCGUAUGCAAUCUACCUUGUACAGAGGGAUAGCCCAGAGAAAUUUGGAUUAAUACCUCAUAGUAUUAUUGAAUGGCAUCAUUUAAUAAUUAAAGUUCCAACGGUACAAGAUGAGCAUGCGUCCUAUUAGCUAGUUGGUGUGGUAACGGCAUACCAAGGCUACGAUAGGUAGGGGUCCUGAGAGGGAGAUCCCCCACACUGGUACUGAGACACGGACCAGACUCCUACGGGAGGCAGCAGUGAGGAAUAUUGGACAAUGGGCGCAAGCCUGAUCCAGCCAUGCCGCGUGCAGGAAGACGCAUCUAUGGUGUGUAAACUGCUUUUGUACGGGAAGAAACACUCCCUCGUGAGGGAGCUUGACGGUACCGUAAGAAUAAGGAUCGGCUAACUCCGUGCCAGCCGCCGCCGUAACAC
rnacentral:rRNA from 1 species